GAUGAACGCUAGCGGGAGGCCUAACACAUGCAAGCCGAGCGGUAGAGUUUCUUCGGAAACUUGAGAGCGGCGCACGGGUGCGUAACACGUGUGCAACCUACCUUUAUCUGGGGGAUAGCCUUUCGAAAGGAAGAUUAAUACCCCAUAAUAUAAUGAUUGGCAUCAAUUAUUAUUGAAAACUCCGGUGGAUAGAGAUGGGCACGCGCAAGAUUAGAUAGUUGGUGAGGUAACGGCUCACCAAGUCAAUGAUCUUUAGGGGUCCUGAGAGGGAGAUCCCCCACACUGGUACUGAGACACGGACCAGACUCCUACGGGAGGCAGCAGUGAGGAAUAUUGGACAAUGGGUGAGAGCCUGAUCCAGCCAUCCCGCGUGAAGGAGGACGGUCCUAUGGAUGGUAAACUUCUUUUGUACAGGGAUAAACCUACUCUCGUGAGGGUAGCUGAAGGUACUGUACGAAUAAGCACCGGCUAACUCCGUG
rnacentral:rRNA from 1 species